CAGCCUUGGGGCAGGGUCCUGGUUCCCCAUCAAGGGAUACACAGAACAACGUCUUUGAGCUGUUUGGCAGGUACUGAGACCCCCCACCAGGUGGGAGAAGUUAAUGGUUAAUGGCAUGCUGCCCACAGAGGCCGGAUUUGGCUUCAGCUCUGCGCCAGGCGAACAGAGAGGGUUUGGAGCUGGAUGAGGAGUUGUGGGCUUGCAAACUGGCUGCUCUCAGGAUGAAGCCUGAUGAUGACAUGUCUUGUCAGGCAAGUACAGAGUUUCAAAAGUGGAGGGAUGAGGUGCCUGCAGGUGGCUGUGCAGUCAGCCUUCCCAUCCCUCCGUCCCAAGCUUACCACGUGCUCCUGGCCACCUCUUAGUUCAGGAUCCUAAGAUUCUAUUCCGAUUCCUAUUUGAAAGAUAAGGAGGCCUAAGACCGAGAGGAGAUCUGAAACAAGCCAGCAAACACAAGCUAUCUCCUCUUCUGCCCUGGCCAUAGAUGCCUGCUGGCCUGGAGGCAUCUGUCAGAGAGGUGCUUUUGCCCCAGGCCUCUCCAUAUUUUGUACGUCUUUAUAGCCAUCACCCCAUUUUCUCACUGUGUAUUUGCCAUCCUAUAUCUGCCUCAAACAGUGAGCUCCUGAAAAUCAGGGAUUUCAACUUCACAUCCUCACCGCCUGCCACGGUACCCAGCAUGUGGUCUGUGUGGUCACCCUAAUGUACCUACUGCUCUACCAAGUCUGCACCAAGACAGGGUGGAGCAUGGAAAAAGAGACAAUUCUCUGAGCCUGGAUGGAGCAAAGCUGAGCUUGUCUCCAGAGGAUCAGGGACACACUCCCCAGUGGUGUAGCAGCCUUCAGGACGCAUGGGGGCCCCGUGCUGGCCGCACCCCAAGCCCCCGGUGAGGCGUGGAGGCACCAGCACGCCUGUGACCAGUGACUGCCCCAGCUCACCGCUACAGCGGACCCCAACUUUGGGGAGGGGCUGCAACAAUGUGUUUAAGUGUCCCCAAAUCCUUGGAUCGAAUCACAAUUGGAUUAUUUUUAGGAAAAUAAAGAACUCGAAAUUC